rnacentral:tRNA from 1 species
GCCGAAGUGGUGGAAUCGGUAGACACGACGGUCUCAAAAACCGUUGCCUUCUGGGCGUGCCGGUUCGAUUCCGGCCUUCGGCA